UACGUAGGGGGCAAGCGUUGUCCGGAAUUAUUGGGCGUAAAGAGCGCGUAGGCGGUCCGAUAAGUCGGCUGUGAAAGUCCAGGGCUCAACCCUGGAAAGCCGGUGGAUACUGUCGGGCUAGAGUCCGGAAGAGGCGAGUGGAAUUCCUGGUGUAGCGGUGGAAUGCGCAGAUAUCAGGAGGAACACCGGUGGCGAAGGCGGAUCUCUGGGCCUUACCUGACGCUGAGGAGCGAAAGCGUGGGGAGCAAACAGG
rnacentral:rRNA from 1 species